GCCGGGCGAGGUGGGGCGUGCCUGUGGUCCCAGCUACUCGGGAGGCUGAGGCUGGGGGAUCACUUCUUGAGUCCGGGAGUUCUGGGCUGUAGUGAGCUAUGCAGAUCGGAUAUCCGCACUAAAUUCGGCAUCAAUAUGGUGACCUCCUGGGAGCGGGGGACCACCAGGUUGCCUAAGCAGGAGGAACCAGCCCAGGUCGGAAACGGAGCAGGUCAAAACUCCCAUGCUGAUCAGUCGUGGGAUCGCGCCUGUGAAUAGUCACUGACCUCCAGCCUGGGCAACAUAGGGAGACCCCAUCUCUU
ensembl:misc_RNA Metazoa_SRP Metazoan signal recognition particle RNA